rnacentral:rRNA from 1 species
AAUGCAAGUCGAACGAUGAACUCCAGCUUGCUGGGGGGAUUAGUGGCGAACGGGUGAGUAACACGUGAGUAACCUGCCCUGGACUCUGGGAUAAGCGUUGGAAACGACGUCUAAUACCGGAUAGGACUCCUGACCGCAUGGUUGGGGGUGGAAAGUUUUUCGGUCUGGGAUGGACUCGCGGCCUAUCAGCUUGUUGGUGAGGUAAUGGCUCACCAAGGCGUCGACGGGUAGCCGGCCUGAGAGGGUGACCGGCCACACUGGGACUGAGACACGGCCCAGACUCCUACGGGAGGCAGCAGUGGGGAAUAUUGCACAAUGGGCGAAAGCCUGAUGCAGCAACGCCGCGUGCGGGAUGACGGCCUUCGGGUUGUAAACCGCUUUUAGUAGGGAAGAAGGGCUUCGGCUUGACGGUACCUGCAGAAAAAGGACCGGCUAACUACGUGCCAGCAGCCGCGGUAAUACGUAGGGUCCGAGCGUUGUCCGGAAUUAUUGGGCGUAAAGAGCUCGUAGGCGGUUUGUCGCGUCUGCUGUGAAAUCUGGAGGCUCAACCUCCAGCCUGCAGUGGGUACGGGCAGACUAGAGUGCGGUAGGGGAGAAUGGAAUUCCUGGUGUAGCGGUGGAAUGCGCAGAUAUCAGGAGGAACACCGAUGGCGAAGGCAGUUCUCUGGGCCGUAACUGACGCUGAGGAGCGAAAGCGUGGGGAGCGAACAGGAUUAGAUACCCUGGUAGUCCACGCCGUAAACGUUGGGCGCUAGAUGUGGGGACCUUUCCACGGUUUCCGUGUCGUAGCUAACGCAUUAAGCGCCCCGCCUGGGGAGUACGGCCGCAAGGCUAAAACUCAAAGGAAUUGACGGGGGGCCCGCACAAGCGGCGGAGCAUGCGGAUUAAUUCGAUGCAACGCGAAGAACCUUACCAAGGCUUGACAUAACCGAGAACGCCCUAGAAAUAGGGAACUCUUUGGACACUCGGUUACAGGUGGUGCAUGGUUGUCGUCAGCUCGUGUCGUGAGAUGUUGGGUUAAGUCCCGCAACGAGCGCAACCCUCGUCGCAUGUUGCCAGCACGUAAUGGUGGGAACUCAUGUGAGACUGCCGGGGUCAACUCGGAGGAAGGUGGGGAUGACGUCAAAUCAUCAUGCCCCUUAUGUCUUGGGCUUCACGCAUGCUACAAUGGCCGGUACAAAGGGCUGCGAUGUCGUAAGGCGGAGCGAAUCCCAAAAAGCCGGUCUCAGUUCGGAUUGAGGUCUGCAACUCGACCUCAUGAAGUCGGAGUCGCUAGUAAUCGCAGAUCAGCAACGCUGCGGUGAAUACGUUCCCGGGCCUUGUACACACCGCCCGUCAAGUCAUGAAAGUCGGUAACACCCGAAGCCGGUGGCCUAA